AUGUACAGUGUUGGGCCACAUCCGCAGGAAGUCCAGGACUCAAGCUUGGGCCUUCUUUCAUCUUCUGACCUUUUCUGCCGGGAAGUCUCUGGUGUCAGGCGUCUCUGUCUUUCUUUGCUGACAGAUGAAACAGCCAUUCAUUACUGUGAGAUGCUCCAUGGAGAGAGUGAGCUGAUGGCUGUGUGCUGGAAUCAUGUACCCCAGCAGGAGAGCCCGGAUCGGGGCUGUGAGAGUCACCUCUCCCCCCUGCUGGAGGCACAUGUCUCAUGGAGCUACAAACUGCGGGAGAAGAACACAUGACCUGACCUAUCAGCAGCUCAAAUAUGAAGGUGAUUUAAAAAUAAUAAUAAUAAUAAAAUUAAAUAAAUAAAAAGGUGUGUAUGGUUAGCACAAGCGUUGAUCUGGAAGACACACAUCACAACCUGAUCCUCUUCUUCUCUCAUUUCCACAUUACAACUAAAUAAUAUCUUGUCAAUAACAAUUACCAAAAAGUAAAACCAAAUUAAAAACAAAACAGAUCUUCUUCCUAAUAUGUAAAUAAUGUGGUCAAAAAAAGCGAGCAUUUUACUAAAUAAAUUCCUCAUACCAAGCAUCUCUAUUGCUCUUCAUCUUCACUAUUGACUGCACAUGCUGUGUUUUACAAAGCAGAGAGAUAGUUGCUGCAGUCUUUAUGAUAUAUGGUUCUUUUCAUCCUAUGUUUCUGACAUGACAGAGUUAUUCAUAUCAUUCUGAAUCACAGGAGGCUGCAUGUCUGAAAGACUUAAAGACUUAACUCCCUAUAGAGUUGAAUCCCUACCUGUCUAACACACAGUUCAGGUGGAUGAUCUUCAUACAGUUUCAUCAAAUGCAAAUCUAUCUGCCCCUAAACGGCAUAUAAAACAACAACAUAUUGUUGCUGUUUGCUGUACGCCAGUCACUGUAAAUGUGCAAUUAUUGUCCAAAAGUGGACUGGACUGUACACAUAAAGUCCAAAGUCUGGUCCUGUGACUAAUAAGUGCUUCAGUUUUAUUACAUGGAAACUCAGCUAGAAAUAAUAAUGCAAAGAAAUGUGUAGAAAUAAUAAAAAAGUAACUUUAAAAAGUAAUGUACUCUCAUAAAAUACUGUGAGAAUUAGUUUCCUUAAAUGGGAACUCUGGGUACUUAAUGUGAAAUGAUAAAAAAAUAAUAAUAAUAAUGAAAAUAUAUAAUACAAAUUAGGUUUGUUCAACUGGCAAGACAAAACACGACAAAGCAAUUUCUGACAUGCUUUCAUCAGAUGAACCUGUCUGAGUGCUUUUAGAUUAAAGGUAAUAUGUGCAUUUGUUUUGAUAAUAUAUUUUCCACUAUCCCACUUUAAAAGGGACUACAGUCAUGAAAUCUGAAUAUUAUCUCGAUGUAUCACUGAAACUUCCGAGAUUAUAAUCUAUAAACAAAAAAUACAUAAAAUAAAAUAAACGGGGAGCACUAUUUUGGGCAGGAAUGAACACACAAGGUUAGAUGCUAGAAAACCCUGGUGCUGAGGUUGUGUGAGCGGUGCGCUCUCACCUCGGCGAUGGGUACGAUACCCUGUAGGUCUCUCUGGCUGAUGUAGAUGGUGGAGAUGACUUCGGCAGACGCUCCGGUCGAGGGAUACUCUAUCUGCCAGCGGAUGGACUGCGAUGACCGCAGGUUGAUGAAAUUGUCAAUCUCAAAGUCCACCCACAUGAUCUCAUAGAAGGAACCAUCAAGUCUGUUGAGAAAAAGAGAAAGACAGAUGUUAGAUGAGGGGGAGAGAGAGGGAGACACUCUUAGAUCAAGGGCUUUAGUACAACUGCAGCCGAGAGCCAGACGUCUGUUUUGAUGUCUAUUGACACAUCCUCCAGGACAGCAGGGGGAAGUACUGCUUUUGGCUUCAUACAGAAGUUAGAAUAAAAAAUUCAGUUAUUAUGUGAUGAUUUGAAAAGGCCCUUAGAACAAAGGAGCCUUUCAAGAUAUGCUCUGCUUUACAGGUGAGCGGUGAUGAUAAAGUAAAAGGAAAUCAUGAAGAUAUUAAAAUGUUUUAAAAUUUGUGUGAUUGCAUAACGUAAUAAUAAUUUAGGAUUUGCUUACUUAUGUUGAAAAUAUUUAUUAAAUAUAAAUAAAUUAUACUAAAUUCAUUCAUAGGAUAAGAGUAACAUGCCAUGCUCAGUAUUUAAAAAACUUCAGUCACAUUACUGAAUACACUUUAACAAAUCAAUUCAGGUGAUGAAUAAUUAGUAUCUUCAGCAAAUAUAGACUCUUCAUUACUGUGUGAGUUUCACUGAAACAGCUUGUACUUAAUGCACGUAAAAUAUUUCAAAAGAUAUUAACAAUUCAAAGGGUUUACUCUCUGUAAUCACAUCCACUGAAUGAACUCAAGGGACUGAUCUGCUGAGGAAAUUAGAGCAACAAAAACCCAUUAAAGAAGGUUUAUUGUGUGAAACAGUAACAGCCAGAAGACAAUGCAUCUUAAUACAAUUAAUGAACAACUUGGGGUCUGUGCAUUAGUGCGAGUGUCACAAAUGGAGAACGAGGGAUAGAAAGCACUUAAAGCACUGUAGAAUCAUGUAACCAUUCAGUUUCUGUCUCAAAUGGCAAGCACAGACUGUUAUGGGCAUGUAUUCACAAAACCUGCAAUCCAUAACACAUGGAACAGUUGAUUUCAGCCAACUCUUGUUUUUUUAUUUUGUGAAAUAUGCAUCAGACUGUUGUUCUGCAGGUCAGCAUGCACAGGUUUACAAGAUACUGUAUGUUCACAAGUUUUAUUUAUGGCACUUAGUAGCAAGUAUAAAGAUAUUCCCAACUAUUUACUUUAUGCCUGCUGAAUAAUCUGUAAUCAUUACUUCUGAUCAACAACAACAAACCCCUAAACAACACAUAAAACAUCACGUUAUGUGACGAUCAGACAGUGGCCAGCUCUUGGCUGAACACUACAAAGUAGAGAAAACUUUAUGCAGCUAGUGAAAAGUCUUGCUCUGUGAUACAAUACAUAUGCACGCAGCUUCAAGACUCAUGGGAUGCAGCAAAAAAACUAAGUAAAACCCUUCUCUGAUUACUUCCUCAUCUCUUUCUUCUGAAUGAAUGUGCACAGUUAGAGCACGACCUCUCUAAAUGCUCCGAGUUGACCUUUUGACAUCAGAUCAUCAGGGGCCAAAUAACCGCCUCCCCCCUCCAUCCUUGUUAUGACACACCCGAAAUGGGUUCAAUUACACUGGCCCAAUCGGCCGCUUGAUGGAUGUGCUGCUGUCUGACCCCUUCCUCCUUCAAAAAGAAUGCUCUGGAAGCAGUAAAUGAAUCAAUAAACCAACAGACAAUACUUUAUUGCAGAGAUGGCAUACGUCUACGGGGAGCGAGGAGAGAGGGAGGGGGCGGCCAGUCAGAAAACGAGAGAUAAAUAAUGUUAUGAAGAACGAGAGUGAGGAGAAAAGAAUCAGUCACAGUCCCUCUCUGUCUCUUCUAGAAGCACAAUGUCAUUUCUCUGAAUAGUAGGAGCGUUUUGUCAUUAUUUACUUCAGGGUUUGAGUCAGACAGCGAUCUGCACCCAACAAUGAGCCGCAAACAAGAAAACCACACGCGGUCUCGCGCAAUUAUACGCUAAAACACAAAUGCGCCAAGCAGGACUUUCAGAAGCGUUAAGAGGAUUAGUUAUGUAGAAGCAGAUGAGAAGUAGAGAGGACAGCAAAGUUAUUCUGUAUUUGAGGAAAGCUGUUAAGCAUUACAAACGGCUGGAUAAUAAGUGGGACGAAAGAGCAUAUGACAAAGGAGCGAUGCAUUGUGGGAAUUCUGUAUUUCUAUUAAAGGCAGAGUUCACUCAAAAUUAAAAGUCUCAAACUUGAGUUGUGUUGAAUUGUUUGUAGCUCUCAAAUAUAAUUUGUGCUUCUUCAUAUUAAAAGUCAUAAUCCGUUACAAGACGUGCAAUUACUGACAACAGGGUUCAGGAAAUGUGAAUUUUCUUUUUCAAUCGAUUCAAUGAAAAAAUCUGAAUGAUUCAUUAACAAAUCAGACAUCAGGACUGUCACGGAUAUUUCAACUCAGAAACGGUUAUUAUAG
rnacentral:lncRNA from 1 species